GAUAUGUUCUUUUUGAAUUUAGUCUUAGAACGGAUAAACUAAAAGACAAUUCAUAUGAUUUUGAUCUCAUCGUAUAUCAUUAAAGGCGAUGGGGAAUCCCGUGAUGGUAAUGAGGAUUUUGCCAAGAGUGGAGGCAAGAAUGUGGUUACGAUCUUAUUGUGCAAGCUGCUAAUUUAAGAUUUAUAUUUAUAUGUUCAAGGUAAGAGUGGAGUCUUGACUAGAUUCAGAAUUUCUGUCUCACAAUUAACUUAAUGUCAUAUUUCUCAUAUAAGGAAACGAAACCAGCGAUUAUGAUAAAGUCCAGUGUAAAGGUAGGAAUCUGUUAAAUGUUUGUACGUGAUUAUUUAGGCUGCUCAUGUAAGAUUUGAUGUUAUUUCUAAAAGGGACUAAAUAAUUAAAUACAUUUAUCUUCCUUGAAGUAGAAUCUGACUUACCAGCAAGACUGACCAGUGUGAUCCUUGGUGGAGUGACUGUUCUCCUGUUAAUGGUCACCGCUGUUCUGAUACUUCAAAGAGCCAAGAAUGAAACACAAUAUCCACAUAAAGAUCCGGAUCUGGACUCUGAGGAGCUGAGGGCUGCAGCCAUAAGAAGGAGGGUGAUGUCUGCCUCAAAGAGAGAGAUGGAGACUCAUGUUAUCUACGCUGCCAGCAGAUAGACUCAGGCAGCAGCUUCCCCAGCAAAGCUUUGUCCUAUAUAUCUGCUUGUAUUGUCUUGUGUAACCGAGGGGAGGGGUUACAAACAAAUCUGAAUCUGCUAUAAAUAAAAAACACUUUUAU